GUGGGGAAUAUUGGACAAUGGGCGAAAGCCUGAUCCAGCAAUGCCGCGUGAGUGAUGAAGGCCUUAGGGUUGUAAAGCUCUUUUACCCGGGAUGAUAAUGACAGUACCGGGAGAAUAAGCCCCGGCUAACUCCGUGCCAGCAGCCGCGGUAAUACGGAGGGGGCUAGCGUUGUUCGGAAUUACUGGGCGUAAAGCGCGCGUAGGCGGCUUUGUAAGUUAGAGGUGAAAGCCCGGAGCUCAACUUCGGAAUUGCCUUUAAGACUGCAUCGCUAGAAUCGUGGAGAGGUGAGUGGAAUUCCGAGUGUAGAGGUGAAAUUCGUAGAUAUUCGGAAGAACACCAGUGGCGAAGGCGACUCACUGGACACGUAUUGACGCUGAGGUGCGAAAGCGUGGGGAGCAAACAGGAUUAGAAACCCUAGUAGUCC
rnacentral:rRNA from 1 species